rnacentral:rRNA from 1 species
UACCAGACUCCUACGGGAGGCAGCAGUGGGGAAUAUUGCACAAUGGGGGAAACCCUGAUGCAGCGACGCCGCGUGAGCGAAGAAGUAUUUCGGUAUGUAAAGCUCUAUCAGCAGGGAAGAAAAUGACGGUACCUGACUAAGAAGCCCCGGCUAAAUACGUGCCAGCAGCCGCGGUAAUACGUAUGGGGCAAGCGUUAUCCGGAUUUACUGGGUGUAAAGGGAGCGCAGGCGGCUUGGCAAGUCUGAUGUGAAAGGCUGGGGCUCAACCCCAGGACUGCAUUGGAAACUGUUAGGCUAGAGUGUCGGGGAGGUAAGCGGAAUUCCUAGUGUAGCGGUGAAAUGCGUAGAUAUUAGGAGGAACACCAGUGGCGAAGGCGGCCUGCUGGACGAUGACUGACGUUGAGGCUCGAAAGCGUGGGGAGCAAACAGGAUUAGAUACCCGGGUA